rnacentral:lncRNA from 14 species
UAGAGAUCAUGGUACUGGUGCCAGAGGUGAUACUGGGACCAUAGAGGUGAUACUGGGGCCAUAGAGACAAUGGUACUGGUGCCAUAGAGGUGAUACUGGGACCAUAGAGGUGAUAUUGGGACCAUAGAGGGGAUACUGGGACCAUAGAUAUGAUACUGGUGCCAUAGAGAACAUGGUACUGGUGUCAUAGAGGUGAUACUGGGACCAUAGAGGUGAUACUGGGACCAUAGAGGUGAUGCUGGGACCAUAGAGAUGAUGCUGGGACGAUAGAGACCAUGGUACUGGUGCCAUAGACACCAUGAGACCAGUGCCAUAGAGAUACCGAUACUGGUACUAUAGAGACCAUGGGACCAGUGCCAUAGAGACGGUGCUGGUACCAUAGAGGUGAUGCUAGGACCAUAGGAAUGAUGCUGUUACCAUAGAAACAAAGAUACUGAUACCAUAGAGGUGAUGCUGGUGCCAUAGAAAUGAUACUGGUACCAUAGAGGUGGUGCUGUUACCAUAGAAACAAUGAUGCUGGUACCAUAGAGACCAUGGUACCGGUACCAUAGAGAUGACACCACUACCACAGAGAUGCUGACACUGGUACCAUAGAAAUGACACCGUUACCAUAGAGACAAUGAUACUAGCAGUACCAUAGAGAUGACACUGUUACCAUAGAGACAAUACUGACACUGAUACCAUAAGAUCGAUACUGUUACCAUACAGACAAUGAUGACCCUGUUACCCUAUGGGACAAUGCUGACACUGGUACCAUAGAGAUGACACUGGUACCAUAGUGAUGCUGGUACCAUAGAGAUGACACCAGUACCAUAGAGAUGACACUGGUACCAUAGAGAUGACACUGGUACCAUAGUGAUGCUGGUACCAUAGAGAUGACCCCAUUACCACAGAGAUGCUGACCCCGUUCCCAUGGAUCUGACCCCGUUACCUUGCCAACAGCAGAGAAGAAGUCCUCCAGGUCUCGGGGUCGGAUGCGAGCAGCCAGCUGCAUACAGAACACGGUGCGAGCAUCGCGCUCCUCGGGGCUCAGGCUGCCCACAGCCUCCCUAUACAUGUACAUACAUGUUAACAUCCCAUAAUAUCCCUAUACAUACAUGUUAUCCUAUGUUAUCCCAUGUUAUCCUAUGUUAUCCUAUGUUAUCCCAUGUUAUCCUAUGUUAUCCCAUGUUGUUAUCCCAUGUUAUCCCAUGU